rnacentral:rRNA from 1 species
GUUUGAUACCCCGAAACUACGUGAGCUACUUCAAGACAGCCUAUUAUAGGGCUAACCCAUCUCUGUGGCAAAAGCGUGGGAAGAACUUUGAGUAGAGGUGACAAACCUACCGAACCUAGUUAUAGCUGGUUGUCCAAGAAAUGAAUAAAAGUUCAGCCUCUAAGCUUCUCCUUUCACCUGAACUUAACCCCUUUAGAUGUAUUAAAGAAACUAAGAAAGUUAGUCAAAGGAGGUACAGCUCCUUUGAAUCAAGACACAACUUUAACAGGCGGGUAAAGAUCAUAAUAACCAAAGCUAGACAUUCUGGUGGGCCUAAAAGCAGCCAUCCCUUAGAAAGCGUUAAAGCUCAAACAUAUUACUUAUACCUUCUUAUCCUGAUCAAUAAAUCUCACCCCCCUAACCAUACUGGACCCUCCCAUGCCCCCAUGGGUGUGAUUAUGCUAAUAUGAGUAAUAAGAGAGCCCGCCUCUCUCCCUGCACACGUGUACCUCGGAACAGACAACCCACCGACCAUUAACGACCCCAAACAAAGAGGGCAAUAAAUCAUAAACUAAAAUCAAGUAAAACAUUUAAAAAUUAACCGUUAACCCCACACAGGUGUACCCCAAGGAAAGACCUAAAGAAAGAGAAGGAACUCGGCAAACACAUAAAGUCUCGCCUGUUUACCAAAAACAUCGCCUCUUGUACCCCCC